rnacentral:rRNA from 1 species
CCUACGGGAGGCAGCAGUGGGGAAUAUUGGGCAAUGGGCGCAAGCCUGACCCAGCAAUGCCGCGUGAAGGAAGAAGGCUUUCGGGUUGUAGACUUCUGUGACAGGGGAAGAGCAGAAGACGGUACCCUGAAAACAAGCCACGGCUAACUACGUGCCAGCAGCCGCGGUAAUACGUAGGUGGCAAGCGUUGUCCGGUUUUACUUGGUGUAAAGGGCGUGUAGCCGGGAAGGCAAGUCAGAUGUGAAAUCUGGAGGCUCAACCUCCAAAUUGCAUUUGAAACUGUUUUUCUUGAGUACUGGAGAGGCAGACGGAAUUCCUUGUGUAGCGGUGAAAUGCGUAGAUAUUAGGAAGAACACCAGUGGCGAAGGUGGCUUUCUGGACUGAAACUGACGCUGAGGCACGAAAGCGUGGGGAGCGAACAGGAUUAGAUACCCUAGUAGUC